CCUACGGGAGGCAGCAGUGAGGAAUAUUGGUCAAUGGACGAAAGUCUGAACCAGCCAAGUAGCGUGAAGGAUGACUGCCCUAUGGGUGGUAAGCUUCUUUUAUAAAGGAAUAGAACGAGGCACGUGUGCCUUUUUGCAUGUACUUUAUGAAUAAGGAUAGGCUAACUCCGUGCUAGCAGCCGCGGUAAUACGGAGGAUCCGAGCGUUAUCCGGAUUGGUUGGGUUUAAAGGGCGUGCAGCCGGAGAGACAAGUCAGAUGUGAAAUCCACGGGCUCAACCCGUGAACUGCAUUUGAAACUGUUUCCCUGGAGUGUAGGAGAGGUAAUCGGAAUUCCUUGUGUAGCGGUGAAAUGCGUAGAUAGAAGGAAGAACACCAGUGGCGAAGGCGGAUUACUGGACGAUAACUGACGGUGAGGCGCGAAAGCGUGGGGAGCAAACAGGAUUAGAUACCCCUGUAGUC
rnacentral:rRNA from 1 species